rnacentral:lncRNA from 1 species
GUGACAACUGUCAUCAAAAGGAACAGCAGGUUGCUCAGCAGGGUGGAGUCGCUGCCCUUCCCAUCCACGGACACCGAGUGCUCGCCCUUCUUCACCAGCAGGCAGACGUGGUGGCCCUGGAUGGAGCGGCUGUACAUGGAGGCGCAGGAGUCCACUCGCUCCACCAUAGAAAAGUGGUGGUGAAAACAUAUCUUUGCCAGAAGGUUCUGGAAGGACAUACUGAUGCCAUCGACUCUGACUGAGCUCAUGCUCAGGUCCCCAGACCCCAGCAGCUUGGCAAAGGCAUCACUGUAGCAGGUUCUGUGUCUUACCCUGGCAGUUCUGUGGGUCUCACAGUCAUGCAGCCUGAAGGAAUCGAUCUAUCGUCCAUCUCAUUAUUUUUAUUGGCUUCAUGAUUUCUCCCAGUAGAGGUGCACCAUAAUUCUAGAGAACAAUGGUGAAGUGGAGCAUCUUCCAUAUUUUAAGAACCGUAUAUAUUUCCUUCUUUGUGGACUAUUAAUAUCUUUUGAUGAUGUCAGGGUUUGCAACGGAAUAGAUUUAAUACAGGACACAUAAUUUAUAGGAUUAUUUUAUAAUAUUUACCCAAAAAGUCAAAUGCAGAAGAGCGCAAGAGAUCUGUCCACAUGCUAGAGACCUGAAGAAUCCAGCAGAGGGCCUGGAUCCUGUAAUGUCCUCCACAAGUCCCUCUGGAGGCCCUGAGCCCGCAGCAGUCUCAUGCAAGUCUGUAUCAAGGACCUGCACCGGGAAGGUCCAAAGGCCGGUGGUGGAAGCUAGAAAGUCUGCACUGGCAGCGUGAAGGAUCUGCACUGGAGCCAGGAAGCGAGGCUCGAGGCAAAGAUCAGAGCUCCCUUGAAGAGAAGAAGCAAAGACCUGAGCUCCUCUAACAAGAACAGCUGAGUUCUUAUCAGGGAAACCAGCUAUGGCAAGCUUCUUCAGGAAAAUCAGCAGCAUACAAUCUUCCCUUCCAGUUCUCCUUUCAUGCCAUUGGGAACAAUCCUCAGGUGGGUCUUCAAUGCCCAGAACCAUGCUGACUCAGUUCAGCUGGGCGUUCCCACUUAAACAGACCAUUAGUUAAUCCAUCACAGCCUUCAUCCAUCUUCCUGUUGGGUUAGUCUAUAUUUACAGAACCGAAAGUAUUAAAUACAUUUUAAAUGACUUCUGACAUGAUGUCUUACUUAGAAAGGCCCACCUUUCUAAAAUACAAUAAUGCAAUCCUCCCUGAUUUGUGAUCUUUCUACUUGCAGCUUUUCAACUUUAUGAUGGUGCAAAAAUAAUAUGGACUCAUUAAUCAGACUUCAAUGUUUUUUUCUUUUUCC